rnacentral:lncRNA from 1 species
CAGAGAGGUAUUGACAGGGAUGAUUUAUGGAAAAAUGUUUUGUAGCUGUAAAGCACAUAGCAAAGUCAAGGCACUAUAGCUGUGAUUUCUGGUUUCAUCUGGUUUCGAGUUUGACACACCUUCCAAUAACUUUUUGAUGACUGCAGUUCUCAUUCCUCCUUCUUUUGCUCUUUUUCUACCUUUGAUACGGUCUUCAGAGAGAUGAUUGUUCAUUCAAGGCAUAUGUAUGAAGAAAUCUAGGAGUUUACAGACUUUAAAUGGGAUUGACUUAAUAUGUGACCACAUCAACAAAUAAUGCAGAAGCAACCCCACCCUUUCUACAGAGUUCCCUUUUCUGGCAUAAAUAAAAACUUGAGAUGAAAAAAGCGGUAAUGACUGCCUGAUGAACUUUAUCUGUGUUGCUCUCUUUUGAACUCUUGCUCCUUUUCGUUCACUCUUUUUAUUUGCCCCCUUGGUCUGUGCUCCCUGUGCUGUAAUGAGGAGAUUGUUGUGGUCCAUUUCCUUAUUUUGCUUGUUAAAUGGCCAACCUGGGUUCUAAUCUCUGUUGGGAAACCAACCAGCUGUGUUUCUGGGGCCUGCCACUUUUGCUUUUCUGGAAAUCAGUUUUUUCCUCUUUAAGAUAAGGGGAUAGAGUUCAAUCUUCAUUAAUAAUACCUCCAGAGCUGAUGGUCUAUGAUUAUGUAGGUGCCUAAUUAGCUGGCACACAUGAACUAAUUAGGGCCUUACUCCUUGCCAGUAGGAAACUUGAGAAGUUUGGACUCAACGUGGAAAAUCUGAUUUCACUUGCAAGGGUUGAGACACCUGGUUGUGCCAUUCUCCUAGAGAUAUCCAUGGAGUGGAAGUGACUUUGGAGUCUAGGGAUGGAGAGAGAAUUGCCCAGGGACAUGAUGAAUUCAACUUCGUGUAGGUGAAGAUGCCCAUGGUACACACAAGAGGAGAUUUCCACAGCCAACUGGAUAUAUGUGCGUAAAACUCAGGAGAUGUACAUUGUAGGUGCAAGAUCCUGCCAUGCUUGGCCCUCGAGAGAUUCUCAUUUUUCUCUAGGAUCACUGGAGAUGUCCAGCAUGGAUGAGAUUAUUUUCUCAGAGCUGUCUAUGCACAAGGCUGCUCAGGGCUGUCCAGGGAGUCC